rnacentral:rRNA from 1 species
GCAAGGGGGUCAUCCCGACUUACCAACCCGAUGCAAACUGCGAAUACCGGAGAAUGUUAUCACGGGAGACACACGGCGGGUGCUAACGUCCGUCGUGAAGAGGGAAACAACCCAGACCGCCAGCUAAGGUCCCAAAGUCAUGGUUAAGUGGGAAACGAUGUGGGAAGGCCCAGACAGCCAGGAUGUUGGCUUAGAAGCAGCCAUCAUUUAAAGAAAGCGUAAUAGCUCACUGGUCGAGUCGGCCUGCGCGGAAGAUGUAACGGGGCUAAACCAUGCACCGAAGCUGCGGCAGCGACACUAUGUGUUGUUGGGUAGGGGAGCGUUCUGUAAGCCUGUGAAGGUGUGCUGUGAGGCAUGCUGGAGGUAUCAGAAGUGCGAAUGCUGACAUAAGUAACGAUAAAGCGGGUGAAAAGCCCGCUCGCCGGAAGACCAAGGGUUCCUGUCCAACGUUAAUCGGGGCAGGGUGAGUCGACCCCUAAGGCGAGGCCGAAAGGCGUAGUCGAUGGGAAACAGGUUAAUAUUCCUGUACUUGGUGUUACUGCGAAGGGGGGACGGAGAAGGCUAUGUUGGCCGGGCGACGGUUGUCCCGGUUUAAGCGUGUAGGCUGGUUUUCCAGGCAAAUCCGGAAAAUCAAGGCUGAGGCGUGAUGACGAGGCACUACGGUGCUGAAGCAACAAAUGCCCUGCUUCCAGGAAAAG